UACGAAGGGGGCUAGCGUUGCUCGGAAUCACUGGGCGUAAAGGGUGCGUAGGCGGGUCUUUAAGUCAGGGGUGAAAUCCUGGAGCUCAACUCCAGAACUGCCUUCGAUACUGAGAGUCUUCGAGUUCGGGAGAGGUGAGUGGAACUGCGAGUGUAGAGGUGAAAUUCGUAGAUAUUCGCAAGAACACCAGUGGCGAAGGCGGCUCACUGGCCCGAUACUGACGCUGAGGUGCGAAAGCGUGGGGAGCAAACAGG
rnacentral:rRNA from 1 species